rfam:Triticum urartu cultivar G1812 contig717049, whole genome shotgun sequence.
UACAUACUCCCUCCGUUCGAAAAUACUUGUCACAAAAAUGAAUAAAAAUGGAUGUAUUUAGAAAUAAAAUAUAUCCAGAUAUAUUUAUCUCAUCGACAAGUAAUUCGGACGGAGGGAGUAUUAU